rnacentral:lncRNA from 1 species
UACUUAUUUUAAAUGUCCAUUUAACCACAUAAAUCCCUCCCUAGGUUUAACAUAUUAAGAGGAGAUAUAAAAGUAAUAUAAAAAUUAAGAGGCAAAAACUAUAAAACCCAACAAAUGGUUUAACAAAUUAUAGAAAGAAGCUAAAUAUACAAAAUUGAGAAGAAAACCCUACUUGAAUUUCACCAAGUUUCAUGUGCCUUUCUCAGAACUCUUCAAUAACCAUUUUCCUUCUCUCAACCUUAGGCAUAAAUGUUCUUAGUGAAGCUUCUCGAUGGAAUUAUUCCAAUUCGGCUCAAUCUUUCACCAUAGUGAGUUGUCUUUCAUAGUAUGUCAUUUUUCUCUAUGCUUUUGAUGAUAGCUAAUCUUCUCUAUUAAUCUCCUCUUCAUUGAUCCAAACUUAUUGAUUAGUUGUUUGAAUCCAUAGGGACUUAAAAUGUGUUUCCAUAAGGGAUUUCUCAUGAGAAUUUUUUGGUUAUCUAACUAAAUUUCUAGAUUCACUUCUUCAUUGAUUUCAACAAUCUUCUCCACCCAAGAAAAUGGAAGGAUUUAGACGAUAAGAGGAAAUGAAUCUGGACCGUAUGAUCGUAUUUAAAGAGGAAACGAAUAUGUGUCGUUCAUCGUAUUUAAUCGCGACUGUCUGAUCGCGCCUGAACAGGGAAUGGAUCCGGACUAUCCACGCACGCAGGAAUAAAUUCAGACCAUCCGAUUGCAGGCACGCAGAUUGCCAGCGUGGCCUUUCGUAAGACACCGAGUCAACGUGCCUUGCCAUGUGGCGCGCUCCGGUUCGUCGGGGCUGCUGAUUGGGCAGUCCUACGUGACACAUUUUUCUUAAAUUAUAUUUUGACCCCUAAUUUCUUAUUUUUCUUUAAAAAAUAUCCCCGAACCCAAAUUUUCAUCCUUUUUUUCCAAAAUUAUUUUCAAUUUCAUCCUCCACCUAUUUUUACCUAAUUUUUACAUUAAAUAAAAUUUAAAAAUUAUAUUUUUAUAUAUUAAUUUUAAUUUUUUUAAAAAUUAAUCCCGAGGUAAAUUUCAGGCCUGGGUAUUACAAUUUUCUUUAGUAAGAUUUAUGUGUUAAUAGAAUUUUUUUAGUUUAUUUAUGUGGCCCAUAUGGGCUUAGUAUUAAAUUAUUUAUGGGACAAUUAACCAAUGUAAUUAAUUCAUAAUGACUAAACACUUUUUAUUCAUCAUUACGAUUUAUUUAUCACAUCAAUAAAUUAGAUGAACAUAUAGUCACCACAAGUAUCAUCUAAUAAAAUAUAAGAACUCUUACAAGUACAUAAAAUUUUGAUUAUGAAUUUUAUAAUUAUUCGAUGGAUGCACAAUUACCAUAUAGUUAAUUCAUUUCAUUUAUUGUAUUUUAGAUUAACCCAAGAUAUGACUUAUACUAAACAAUACAAAACCCACUAUGUUGUUUAACAUAUUAUACUAAAAAAGCUAAGUAUACAAAAUUGAGCAUAAAACCCUACUUGAACUUCCCAUGUUUCAUAUGCCUUUCUCAUAAUUCUUCAAUAACCAUUUUCCUCCUCUUAACCUUAGGAAUAAAGGCUUUUAGUGAAGCUUCUCUAUAGAAUUAUUCUGAUUCCACUCAAUCUUUCACCACAGUGAGUUGUCUUCCAUAGUACAUUAUUUUUUUUUUAUGCUUUUGAUGAUUGUGCAUCUUCUCCAUUAAUCUCCUCUAUAUUGAUCCAAACUUAUUGAUUGGUUACCAUGGUCGUAUCUUACCACUGUGAGCCCUACAGAUCAUAUAGACUAAUGACCACGGUUGAACUUUUCCAUUAUGGCCCCUAUAUAUUAGAAUUCGAAUCCACUCUCGUCAAAGUCAAUGCUCAUACUAUUCACAAGGAGUGGUUCAUCAACAUCUUUCCAGACUUAGAUACAGAUAUAGGGGUAAGGACAAAAAGAAACCCCAAGUGAUAACAAUCCAAUGAAUUUUUCUGUUCUUUUCACUUGUUUUAUUAUUUUACAUUUGAACAAUGAUGUAAUCCAAUAAUAUUCAAUGACAAAUCUCAGCCUGCAGCGGCCUUUAUACUUGGACUUUGCCAUCGGGUAAUUUUUCUGAGUCUAGAUCCAAAGGAAGUAACCCUACCUAACAUUCUCCAAAGACAAUGUAAGGAGCCAAGUUCGUACAAUCAUGUUGUUUAAUUCUAAAGAUUAUAUCAUGUGUUUGAAAUGUUAAAUCACAUAAUCGUAGGGAAAACAUUCAAUUUCAAACAUCCGUUCACUUUUCAUGCAUGUAAAUAAAUCAACCUUCAUUAUUAAUCUAUCUAUAAAUUCACUUAGGAGUGCAAAAAAUACUAAAGAUUCCUUACCAAAAAUUGUGAAGCUUUUUGAGAUCCUAACGGAGAAGAUGGAAAUAUAUCCUUAAUGAUUAUUACGAUAAAAUAAUUUUAAACUCCUCAUCUCCCUAUUCCACACUUAACUCUCUUAAGCUUUAGAAGAAUGAAAAUAAGAUAGAAAAGUGUGAGAAAAAUAAAGGCGAAAUGGGUUUAUAUAGAAACACUAGGCAACUAGAGACCGCCAGACCGCAUAAGCAAUCAACAGCCACAAAAUGGCCAAGUGGCCAUUCCACCACCGUGGGUGGCGUACAUGUCCACCACAUGGCGGCAAUGCAUGCCCCUGGUCAAGUCAAUUGACGGAUGGGACAUUUGUCCAUCAAUCAGUCACCUUUAGUGACUGCACUCGUAGAGCAGCAUGGUGCAAGCUAAUGGGACAACCUAUCAAUGCGUAGGUAACCUGAUGCGACUGCUUGUCUAUGCACUGGCU